UACGAAGGGGGCGAGCGUUGUUCGGAUUUACUGGGCGUAAAGGGCGCGUAGGCGGCGCAACAAGUCAGGCGUGAAAGCCCCGGGCUCAACCUGGGAGGUGCGCUUGGGACUGUUGUGCUUGAGUUCGGGAGAGGAGAGUGGAAUUCCCAGUGUAGAGGUGAAAUUCGUAGAUAUUGGGAAGAACACCGAUUGCGAAGGCAGCUCACUAAAUUGUAACUGACGCUGAGGCACGAAAGCGUGGGGAUCAAACAGG
rnacentral:rRNA from 1 species